rnacentral:rRNA from 1 species
GGCGCGCGAUACAGGGUGACAGCCCCGUACACAAAAAUGCACAUAUUGUGAGCUCGAUGAGUAGGGCGGGACACGUGGUAUCCUGUCUGAAUAUGGGGGGACCAUCCUCCAAGGCUAAAUACUCCUGACUGACCGAUAGUGAACCAGUACCGUGAGGGAAAGGCGAAAAGAACCCCGGCGAGGGGAGUGAAAAAGAACCUGAAACCGUGUACGUACAAGCAGUGGGAGCACGCUUAGGCGUGUGACUGCGUACCUUUUGUAUAAUGGGUCAGCGACUUAUAUUCUGUAGCAAGGUUAACCGAAUAGGGGAGCCGAAGGGAAACCGAGUCUUAACUGGGCGUUAAGUUGCAGGGUAUAGACCCGAAACCCGGUGAUCUAGCCAUGGGCAGGUUGAAGGUUGGGUAACACUAACUGGAGGACCGAACCGACUAAUGUUGAAAAAUUAGCGGAUGACUUGUGGCUGGGGGUGAAAGGCCAAUCAAACCGGGAGAUAGCUGGUUCUCCCCGAAAGCUAUUUAGGUAGCGCCUCGUGAAUUCAUCUCCGGGGGUAGAGCACUGUUUCGGCAAGGGGGUCAUCCCGACUUACCAACCCGAUGCAAACUGCGAAUACCGGAGAAUGUUAUCACGGGAGACACACGGCGGGUGCUAACGUCCGUCGUGAAGAGGGAAACAACCCAGACCGCCAGCUAAGGUCCCAAAGUCAUGGUUAAGUGGGAAACGAUGUGGGAAGGCCCAGACAGCCAGGAUGUUGGCUUAGAAGCAGCCAUCAUUUAAAGAAAGCGUAAUAGCUCACUGGUCGAGUCGGCCUGCGCGGAAGAUGUAACGGGGCUAAACCAUG